rnacentral:rRNA from 1 species
AGUGAACGCUGGCGGUAGGCCUAACACAUGCAAGUCGAACGGCAGCACAGUAAGAGCUUGCUCUUACGGGUGGCGAGUGGCGGACGGGUGAGGAAUACAUCGGAAUCUACUUUUUCGUGGGGGAUAACGUAGGGAAACUUACGCUAAUACCGCAUACGACCUACGGGUGAAAGCAGGGGAUCUUCGGACCUUGCGCGAUUGAAUGAGCCGAUGUCGGAUUAGCUAGUUGGCGGGGUAAAGGCCCACCAAGGCGACGAUCCGUAGCUGGUCUGAGAGGAUGAGCACCCACAGGGGAACUGAGACGCGGACCAGCCUCCUGCGGGGGGCAGAAGGGGGGAAUGUUGGAAAGGGGGCGAAAGCAGGACCCACCCAUAGGGGGGGGGAAAAGAAGGCUUGGGGGUUGAAAAGCCGUUUUGUGGGAAAAAAAAAGCAGCAGGUAAAUACCGCGCUGUUGGGAGGGUACAAAAAAAAAAAGCACGGGCAAACUUCGUG